CUUUUUUUUUUUUUUUUUUUUUAAUUUAUUUAUUCAUGAGAGACAGAAAUACAGGCAGAGGGAGAAGCAGGCUCCAUGCAGGGAGCUCGACAUGGGACUCGAUCCCGGGUCUCCAGGAUCAGGCCCUGGAUUGAAGGUGGUGCCAAACCGCUGAGCCACCUGGGCUUUAGGGUGCUUAAACUCAUCCAUAUAAAGAACUCUCUCCAGGAAGUCAGGCAAUUUCUAUGGAAUCAGAGAAGGGAGGUUUGGUCUCUACUAGGAUGCAUCCAGGGGCUCUACUCCAAAAGGUAGAGACCCAAAAGGCCCACGUGAGGCCUUGAAUUGAGCCAGCUGGGCACAAAGUGUAGCUGCCUAGUCUAACUUUUGUAGCUAACCAGAUUAAGGACUCUAUAUCCGUUUGUGGACACUCAGGACCCCAACAUCCCCCUCUUCCUCCCUUGCUGCUACCGGCCCUUUUGUCAACUUUCUAUUGGGUGGCAUUACCAUCUGUGGAUAUUGUUUGUUGACCACUGGGGUAAUAAACCUGGUUGCCAAGAAAAUUGAAACUUGGCUAAAACAAGGCUGCGAACUACCUUCAUCUAUAUUGUGGUCUCCACUUAUUAUCACGGACCAUAAAUUGAGAUGAGGCACAUUGGCUGAUGCCCUGGCAAUGACGUAAUUGAUUUCAGUGUUCCGAUGCUAACUAAAUGCAUAUAUCUUAAGUUUAUGUCAAUUAUUCACACAGUUUAUCUAACAUCACUAUUAUGACUUUAGAAAAAUAUUUACAAAGGGUUUAACAAUAAUUUUCCUGAACUAUUCAUCAAAGAGGAUUACGCUGCUCCUAACUCUGAGCCCUGCUGAUACUGUCUGUCAACAAGACUGGGUGAAAAAUGAAGCUUAUUAUUUUAAACCUUUGGACCAAUACUUGAGCGGCUAAAGAGGUCACGGGCAUUGUUUGUCCAAUUUCACCUGCAGAGAAUUUACUUAUUCCAAGAAUGUGAUUGUCAACAGGUUAAAUGACUUUAGAUAAUACACCAUGUACAGCUGGUGGGAAAUCCCUAAGCUAAUAAACUAGAGAGAAGGUGAGUAGACCCCCUGGAAAAUUAGCCGGCCUUUUUCCUUCUCAAUUCCUGAAUGUAUCCACACCUAUGGGAUUACAUUGCUUUUUCUUUGACGACCCUGUGAGGGACUGACUUUUGAAUUAUCUGUAAUCUUUUACAUUGCUAUAAAUUUAGCGCCUAACAGAGUGCCUGCACAUAAUUGGUGAUGGAUAAACAUUUGUUGAACGAAUGUGAGGAAGCUGACUUCAAAGAGAUUCAAAGCCGGACAGUGCAUGCUAUGAUGGAAAUACAUUAAAAACAAUAGCGAUAGGGACACCUGGGUGGCUCAGUGGGUGAGCAUCUGCCUUUGGCUCAGGGUAUGGUCCUGGGGUCCUGGAAUCGAGUCCCGCAGCAGGUUCCCCACAGGAUGCCUGCUUCUCCCUCUGCCUGUGUCUCUGCCUCUUUGUGUCUCUCAUGAAUAAAUAAAUAAAAUCUUAAAAAAAACAAAAACAAAAACCUUCAAAACGUAGCGAUAGGCACAGAUGCGAGAGUGAUGUGUGGCCGGGCAGCAGCUGGAUGUGGUGUGUGGAGGGGCAGGAGGCCAGGCCGUCUCCCUCCCUCUUCUUCGACCCCUCUAGCUUAGUCUAAAUGAAGAAAAGCGACGCUGCCAUUUGUGGCUUGCUCCUGUGGUCUGCUUCUCCGGGGUUUGCACCCUCCAUACUAAAAUGCCAUGUCUCUCUGCUUCCCUAGCCCUGUUUUUCCAUCUUACAUCAUUGGCUUAUGAGGCAGUAACCUAGUGACCCUGUUACAAUUCCCAUUAGAUCCGGUCACAGGUCCCUGCAUGCCUACUCAUUACACUCAGAGUAGAAACCAAGUCCUGUCUCUCUGUACGCAGCGAACC
rnacentral:lncRNA from 1 species